UGAAAUUUUUACACAACCUCCUCAGAUAACCAAAGAACUUAUUUCCCAGUGGGGAAAGGCUCGGCAUGUGAGGUAUACUGCCGAGAUUUUCGGCACAAUUACGGCACAAAUUUUAAUUCAAAACCAUCCGCGUAGUGGCGCAUAGUGCUUUGUCGUUAUUCUCGGCAUAUUUUCGGUAUUGUUGUUUUUUGGCAUGCACGGUGAAAAUAGUGGCGUGGGUUCACGAAAACCCAAUUUUCAGUGAUUUUCCUCAAUUUUCCGGCAAUCUAUUCGGUAAGUAAGUUAUCCUAAUGCGUAUAGAAUUAAUAAGAAAAUGGAAGAAUUCGUUUAAUGCGCCUAAAAAUAUGUAUUUUCUUUGUUUUCUUUAGCAUUGCUGUGUUGAAGGAGAUUUUGUUUGAACUUCUGAAGGACACCGUGACCGUACCCAUCCGGAACUAAAAUUUCAUUACAGGUUUAAUUUAGUCCAUAAUUAUAUUUGCAUUUUAAUUGUUUUGGGGUCUAAACGCACCGGAAUCUCAUCUUGAUUCAGCUAAUCAGGGGAGCCGGAUGCAUCGUUAGUUUAGUUAAAGAAUUUUAUAAUUUUUCUGGGAGAUGUAGCGUCAUCCCAUUUAUCUUAGUCUCACGCAUCUCAUGAAUGAAGUUCACGUGAAAACGGGGAAAACGUAUUCUUGGAAGCGUAAGAACUUUAUUUAAAUUCUAAUUUUGGUUUUUGGCUAAAAGUUAAUUUCAGGUAAGUGAUCAAGGAGGGAAACUUCAAACAAGUCCAUCGUCACGCCGGUUUGGAAUAGGAAACUUCACAGAGUCCACAAGGGAUGCUUAUGUAAAAGCAAAAAUGAGCAAUCCGGAUGCGGAAGAGAUCAGGAAUAUUGUACUUCUUCACUACAACCGGGAACAUCUAUCCAAUACUUUGUCAAAGGACGAUACAAAAUAGUGUUCCUGGAAUCAUGGAAUCCGGAAGGAAGCUUCAUUCACAUCCUUGUCGGUUUUGAUUUCCUGAAAUCCAUCACCAACAGGUCGUACGUCCAAUGUCUACUAAUGGAGUUUUGAUUUAGAGAAGCCCGUCUCCAGAUAGAAGUUAAGGAAAAACUACGCGAAGAACUGCGUUGGUGAGAAAACAAAUUAUAAUUGUAAAUAAAAUAAAAUUUUAAAUAAAAAAAGUAAAAAAAAGAA